GAUGAACGCUGGCGGCGUGCCUAAUACAUGCAAGUCGAGCGAAUGGAUUAAGAGCUUGCUCUUAUGAAGUUAGCGGCGGACGGGUGAGUAACACGUGGGUAACCUGCCCAUAAGACUGGGAUAACUCCGGGAAACCGGGGCUAAUACCGGAUAACAUUUUGAACCGCAUGGUUCGAAAUCGAAAGGCGGCUUCGGCUGUCACUUAUGGAUGGACCCGCGUCGCAUUAGCUAGUUGGUGAGGUAACGGCUCACCAAGGCAACGAUGCGUAGCCGACCGGAGAGGGUGAUCGGCCACACUGGGACUGAGACACGGCCCAGACUCCGACGGGGGGCAGCAGUAGGGAAUCUUCCGCAAUGGACGAAAGUCUGACGGAGCAACGCCGCGUGAGUGAUGAAGGCUUUCGGGUCGUAAAACUCUGUUGUUAGGGAAGAACAAGUGCUAGUUGAAUAAGCUGGCACCUUGACGGUACCUAACCAGAAAGCCACGGCUAACUACGUGCCAGCCGCCGCGGUAA
rnacentral:rRNA from 1 species